AUGAUCAGUAGGUAGAAACCUCAGGAAGAGCAAGAGAGGAGGGGUCCCUCUCCCCUAACCCAACGAUCAAUUCAGGACCACCCAAAGAGUUGGCCUUUUUGUUUUACAUACAGCAACUUGACCAACUUUUUUUCCCUUCCCUUUCAGAAUAAGACCAGCCACCAUAAACUACUCUGCAGAAUCUAUGCGCUCCUCUUCCUCCCAAUUUAACCCUUCUGCAGGCGCGUCCCGCUCCUCAGCAGCAGCAGCAGCAGCAGGAGGAGCAGCAGCAGCAGCAGCAGCAGCAGGAGGAGGAGGAGGAGGAGGAGGAGGAGGACCUGCCGCCAAGGACAAGCCACAGGUCAAAAAAAUCGCCCCCAUGAUGGCCAAAACUAUCAAAGCUUUCAAGAACCGAUUCUCCCGCCGAUAGUGUGAAAGAGACUGAAUGUAUUUUAUCAAUUCCAACUGUGUUUUUAAUUUUUUAUUUAAGUUGAGCAAAAUUGUAAUGAAGACCCCUUCAUCCCAACACACACACACACACACACACACACACACACACACACACACACACACACACACACACACACACACACACACACACACACACACAAGUAAACACACACACCAUCAUCGAACAUAUCAUAGGAACUUUUCAGUGUUGCUUGAAACAUGGUUCGUUUUUUUAAAUGAAAUGACGGUCGAUAGGUUCGAGGUCCGUGUAAAAACAAUGAAGUCAACCCCUUUUUACAAGACGCAAAGGACGCACACAAACACACACGCACUUGCAAACACACAGUCUGUUACUUUUUCUUGUUUUCCAGCAAACUUUAAAAAAAGGAAUGGCUCCACUCCUUUUGGGAAACACUAUUUUUCCUAGUCAACAAAAAGAUUGAUACCAUUCAUGACUGUAUGUUAAAUAUGAAGCUAGAACCAGGAGACGCUUAGCUUAGCAGUCUAACUGGAAGCAGGUGGGACACAGCUAGCCUUGAUCUUUACAAAUGUAACAAAGUUAGUUGGAAACUACUACUAUUUUUGUACAUAUUGAAAAACUGAGAAACCUAUUAAAUACUUAGCUUCAUAUGUGGUGGUAGGGUAUUGCUGAAAUGCUAGCUAUUUUUCCCCGUUUCCAGUUUUUAUGCUAGUUAGCCAGCUCAUGGCUUUAGCUUCACAGUUUAGCAUACACAAGAUGAAGGAGUGGGAUAAUCUUCUUAUGUAACUCUUGGCAAAAUAUAAAUUGGCAUUCUCCUUCAACUAAAAUAGCAAACUUUUCUUCAUGAGACAGAAAACAAUACGGAUUCAUUGAUGUUUUAAGAUUAGCUGUUUUUUUAAUCACGAUCAAAUGGUACACUACAUGAGGAAAAACUUUAGGCUACAUACCGUUGAAUUUUUUUGAUCUUAAUUGCAUGCAUGGUGCACGUCAGCCGAGACAAAAAUUGUGUUGUCAAAGACCCUGCUUUUUAAAAUCAAACAAACAGAUGCAUAUUUAAAUGUUUCUUUGUGUAGGGCUUUACUGAUAUCAGUCAACUACACACACGCACACACAAACACAUUGUAGACUUAUUUUCAACCCUCCUAUGGCUUCAGAUCAUGUUUUCCUGCUGUUGAAUGUGUGUGUCCCUGUUGUUAAUAUAUGCACACUGUGACAAAUGGCUUGAGGGGGAGCUGAAGAGACUGCAGGAGAGAAGAAGAACAUCAAGCAAACACAACAACGGGGAAAUUAUGUAAUAGGACGUCUGCAGCUUCAGUUUCUACAACAUGAUGAUGAGAUGUAUUUAUUUUCAACACUGGGACCUGGUACCCGACAACAUGGGCCCGAAUGGAAUUAGAUUAAAAAUUGUAAUUUUAUUAGAUUUUAAUAAAUGUUAUAUGGUCAUUUUUAUUAAAAUUGACUUUUUGCCCUU